rnacentral:rRNA from 1 species
GAUGAACGCUGGCGGCGUGCCUAAUACAUGCAAGUCGAGCGAACGGACGAGAAGCUUGCUUUUCUGAUGUUAGCGGCGGACGGGUGAGUAACACGUGGAUAACCUACCUAUAAGACUGGGAUAACUUCGGGAAACCGGAGCUAAUAUCGGAUAAUAUUUUGAACCGCAUGGUUCAAAAGUGAAAGACGGUCUUGCUGUCACUUAUAGAUGGAUCCGCGCUGCAUUAGCUAGUUGGUAAGGUAACGGCUUACCAAGGCAACGAUGCAUAGCCGACCUGAGAGGGUGAUCGGCCACACUGGAACUGAGACACGGUCCAGACUCCUACGGGAGGCAGCAGUAGGGAAUCUUCCGCAAUGGGCGAAAGCCUGACGGAGCAACGCCGCGUGAGUGAUGAAGGUCUUCGGAUCGUAAAACUCUGUUAUUAGGGAAGAACAUAUGUGUAAGUAACUGUGCACAUCUUGACGGUACCUAAUCGGAAAGCCACGGCUAACUACGUG